rnacentral:rRNA from 1 species
GAUGAACGCUGGCGGCGUGCCUAAUACAUGCAAGUCGAGCGAACAGACGAGGAGCUUGCUCCUCUGACGUUAGCGGCGGACGGGUGAGUAACACGUGGAUAACCUACCUAUAAGACUGGGAUAACUUCGGGAAACCGGAGCUAAUACCGGAUAACAUGUUGAACCGCAUGGUUCAACAGUGAAAGACGGUUUUGCUGUCACUUAUAGAUGGAUCCGCGUCGCAUUAGCUAGUUGGUAAGGUAACGGCUUACCAAGGCAACGAUGCGUAGCCGACCUGAGAGGGUGAUCGGCCACACUGGAACUGAGCCACGGUCCAGACUCCUACGGGAGGCAGCAGUAGGGAAUCUUCCGCAAUGGGCGAAGGCCUGACGGAGCAACGCCGCGUGAGUGAAGAAGGUCUUCGGAUCGUAAAACUCUGUUAUUAGGGAAGAACAAAUGUGUAAGUAACUAUGCACGUCUUGACGGUACCUAAUCAGAAAGCCACGGCUAACUACGUG